AAGCUUGCUGCUUCGCUGACGAGUGGCGGACGGGUGAGUAAUGUCUGGGAAACUGCCUGAUGGAGGGGGAUAACUACUGGAAACGGUGGCUAAUACCGCAUAACGUCGCAAGACCAAAGAGGGGGACCUUCGGGCCUCUUGCCAUCAGAUGUGCCCAGAUGGGAUUAGCUUGUUGGUGAGGUAACGGCUCACCAAGGCGACGAUCCCUAGCUGGUCUGAGAGGAUGACCAGCCACACUGGAACUGAGACACGGUCCAGACUCCUACGGGAGGCAGCAGUGGGGAAUAUUGCACAAUGGGCGCAAGCCUGAUGCAGCCAUGCCGCGUGUAUGAAGAAGGCCUUCGGGUUGUAAAGUACUUUCAGCGGGGAGGAAGGUGUUGUGGUUAAUAACCGCAGC
rnacentral:rRNA from 1 species